AGAUGCAGUCCGUCACAGGUGCGUCGCGUGGCUUGUUUCAUGUAAAGCCUGAAGAAGGGUCGGCGGCCAUCUACUGAAGGAUGCUCAAUCAUGCUCGUGGCUUGUGACCGGCUUGCGACGGCGACCGAGAGGUCCACUCAAGACAUGGGUAUGCUGGGUGCAUUAAGACAAUCGGUGUGAAAGGCACUAUCGAUGUGACAACAGUGUAUUGAUCCUGGCCGCCUUGUAUCCGGGUGUUUACACGCUUGCGGCGAUAAGGACGCGAGACGAAUGGCAAGCAUUUGGGGAUAGUGUCGUUUCGUGUUCCGUCUGUACGAUUGCACUGCCUGCUGCUACUGAAUGGGAAUGGUGUGAACAUUGCCAGGCGAAGGAUCGGGUGUUCCACCGGUUGAUGGAUGUCGGUGAUGAGUCGCGUGGUAGGUGAUUCAAAGUCGCAACUCAAGCGAGAGGUUUGCGGGAUUGUGAGCUCGCUGCACAGGCUGUAGGCGCACGACGACGAGAUGCUAUUGGUGUUACGAACACUUUGUGGAGGCGAAGGCGAGUGAAUCCUGAGGGUCUAGAAGACUGUGUCAGUGACAGGGGGCUGAAGCGGAGGGCAGGGAUUGUGCGUGUGUUUGAUAGCGGCUUGCUGUUGAGGAACGUAUGAUUCGGGGCAUUGCAGGAUCAUGUGGAGGUGCCGAUGACUCGGUAGCCAACGCGAUGGAGUUUGUUGUCA
rnacentral:lncRNA from 1 species